UACGGAGGGUGCAAGCGUUGUUCGGAUUUAUUGGGCGUAAAGGGCGCGUAGGCGGCCCGGUAAGUCAAAGGUGAAAUCCCUCGGCUCAACUGAGGAACUGCCUUUGAAACUGUCGGGCUUGAGGCCGGGAGGGGGUAGCGGAAUUCCCAGUGUAGCGGUGAAAUGCGUAGAUACUGGGAGGAACACCAGUGGCGAAGGCGGCUACCUGGACCGGUUCUGACGCUGAGGCGCGGAAAGCGUGGGUAGCAAACAGG
rnacentral:rRNA from 1 species